UACAGCUUGCACUUCUUAGAAUAAAACGCACAUUACUUGAUUCGGCCACAUAUUGAGCAGGCAUGUAUGUGCACUGAUAACAAAAAUAUAGACGAUAUAUCUUAGCUGAAUGCUAUGCGGUCAAUAAAUAUUUUUUAUGCCGAUAUGCCUUAAUUAUUUUUUGGUACAUCAAUAUACCUUAAUUAUUAUCUGUAGAUAUUUCACAAAGCCAUCACUCUGAGAUGAUGUCUUGAUACAAUCAAAAAAGGAA
rnacentral:lncRNA from 1 species